rnacentral:rRNA from 1 species
CUAUCAUUAACUGAAUCCAUAGGUUAAUGAGGCGAACCGGGGGAACUGAAACAUCUAAGUACCCCGAGGAAAAGAAAUCAACCGAGAUUCCCCCAGUAGCGGCGAGCGAACGGGGAGCAGCCCAGAGCCUGAAUCAGUAUGUGUGUUAGUGGAAGCGUCUGGAAAGGCGCGCGAUACAGGGUGACAGCCCCGUACACAAAAAUGCACAUGCUGUGAGCUCGAUGAGUAGGGCGGGACACGUGGUAUCCUGUCUGAAUAUGGGGGGACCAUCCUCCAAGGCUAAAUACUCCUGACUGACCGAUAGUGAACCAGUACCGUGAGGGAAAGGCGAAAAGAACCCCGGCGAGGGGAGUGAAAAAGAACCUGAAACCGUGUACGUACAAGCAGUGGGAGCACGCUUAGGCGUGUGACUGCGUACCUUUUGUAUAAUGGGUCAGCGACUUAUAUUCUGUAGCAAGGUUAACCGAAUAGGGGAGCCGAAGGGAAACCGAGUCUUAACUGGGCGUUAAGUUGCAGGGUAUAGACCCGAAACCCGGUGAUCUAGCCAUGGGCAGGUUGAAGGUUGGGUAACACUAACUGGAGGACCGAACCGACUAAUGUUGAAAAAUUAGCGGAUGACUUGUGGCUGGGGGUGAAAGGCCAAUCAAACCGGGAGAUAGCUGGUUCUCCCCGAAAGCUAUUUAGGUAGCGCCUCGUGAAUUCAUCUCCGGGGGUAGAGCACUGUUUCGGCAAGGGGGUCAUCCCGACUUACCAACCCGAUGCAAACUGCGAAUACCGGAGAAUGUUAUCACGGGAGACACACGGCGGGUGCUAACGUCCGUCGUGAAGAGGGAAACAACCCAGACCGCCAGCUAAGGUCCCAAAGUCAUGGUUAAGUGGGAAACGAUGUGGGAAGGCCCAGACAGCCAGGAUGUUGGCUUAGAAGCAGCCAUCAUUUAAAGAAAGCGUAAUAGCUCACUGGUCGAGUCGGCCUGCGCGGAAGAUGUAACGGGGCUAAACCAUGCACCGAAGCUGCGGCAGCGACGCUGAUGCGUUGUUGGGUAGGGGAGCGUUCUGUAAGCCUGCGAAGGUGUGCUGUGAGGCAUGCUGGAGGUAUCAGAAGUGCGAAUGCUGACAUAAGUAACGAUAAAGCGGGUGAAAAGCCCGCUCGCCGGAAGACCAAGGGUUCCUGUCCAACGUUAAUCGGGGCAGGGUGAGUCGACCCCUAAGGCGAGGCCGAAAGGCGUAGUCGAUGGGAAACAGGUUAAUAUUCCUGUACUUGGUGUUACUGCGAAGGGGGGACGGAGAAGGCUAUGUUGGCCGGGCGACGGUUGUCCCGGUUUAAGCGUGUAGGCUGGUUUUCCAGGCAAAUCCGGAAAAUCAAGGCUGAGGCGUGAUGACGAGGCACUGCGGUGCUGAAGCAACAAAUGCCCUGCUUCCAGGAAAAGCCUCUAAGCAUCAGGUAACAUCAAAUCGUACCCCAAACCGACACAGGUGGUCAGGUAGAGAAUACCAAGGCGCUUGAGAGAACUCGGGUGAAGGAACUAGGCAAAAUGGUGCCGUAACUUCGGGAGAAGGCACGCUGAUAUGUAGGUGAAGUCCCUCGCGGAUGGAGCUGAAAUCAGUCGAAGAUACCAGCUGGCUGCAACUGUUUAUUAAAAACACAGCACUGUGCAAACACGAAAGUGGACGUAUACGGUGUGACGCCUGCCCGGUGCCGGAAGGUUAAUUGAUGGGGU